rnacentral:rRNA from 1 species
CCUACGGGUGGCUGCAGUGAGGAAUAUUGCCCAAUGGGGGAAACCCUGAGGCAGCAACGCCGCGUGGAGGAAGAAGGUCUUUACGUUCGUAAACUUCUUUUGUGAGGGAAGAGGAAGGACGGUACCUCAUGAAUAAGUCACGGCUAACUACGUGCCAGCAGCCGCGGUAAUACGUAGGUGACGAGCGUUAUCCGGAAUUACUGGGCGUAAAGCGUACGCAGGCGGCAUGGUAAGUCUGACGUGAAAUCUCCUGGCUUAACUGGGAGAGGUCGUUGGAGACUGCUGUGCUUGAGACAAUGAGAGGGGUGCAGAAUUCCCGGUGUAGUGGUGGAAUGCGUAGAUAUCGGGAGGAAUACCAGAGGCGAAAGCGGCACCCUGGCAUUGGUCUGACGCUCAUGUACGAAAGCGUGGGUAGCAAACGGGAUUAGAUACCCCUGUAGUC